rnacentral:rRNA from 1 species
UACGUAGGGUGCGAGCGUUAUCCGGAUUUACUGGGCGUAAAGCGCGUUAAGGCGGUUGGCAAAGUUGGUUGUGAAAUCUCAGGGCUCAACCCUGAAAUUGCGACCAAUACUGGUCGACUAGAGUGUGAGAGAGGAAGGUGGAAUUCCCGGUGUAGUAGUGAAAUGCGUAGAUAUCGGGAGGAACACCAGUGGCGAAGGCGGCCUUCUGGCUCAUAACUGACGCUGUAGCGCGAAAGCGUGGGGAGCGAACCGG